UACGUAGGUGGCGAGCGUUGUCCGGAUUUACUGGGCGUAAAGAGCGCGCAGGCGGCCAAGUCAGUCGAAUGUGAAAGCCCCCGGCUUAACUGGGGAGGGUCAUUCGAUACUGCUCGGCUCGAAGACAGGAGAGGGAAGUGGAAUUCCCGGUGUAGUGGUGAAAUGCGUAGAUAUUGGGAGGAACACCAGUGGCGAAGGCGGCUACCUGGACCGGUUCUGACGCUGAGGCGCGAAAGCGUGGGUAGCAAACAGG
rnacentral:rRNA from 1 species